GUUAAAACGCUCGUAGUCGGAUUUCGGGGCCUGCCUGCCGGUCUGCCGAUGGGUAUGCACUGGCAGGCGCGUCCUUCCUUCCGGAGACUGUCCCUACUCUUAACUGAGCGGGGUCGGGAGACGGAUCGAUUACUUUGAAAAAAUCAGAGUGUUUCAAGCAGGCAGCUCGCUCUUGCAUGGAUUAGCAUGGAAUAAUGAAAUAGGACUUUGGUGCUAUUUUGUUGGUUUCGAACACCGAAGUAAUGAUUAACAGGGACAGUCAGGGGCACUCGUAUUCCGCCGAGAGAGGUGAAAUUCUCAGACCAGCGGAAGACGAACCACUGCGAAAGCAUUUGCCAGGGAUGUUUUCACUGAUCAAGAACGAAAGUUAGGGGAUCGAAGACGAUCAGAUACCGUCGUAGUCUUAACCAUAAACCAUGCCGACUAGGGAUUGGAGGAUGUCCAUUUUUGACUCCUUCAGCACCUUACGGGAAACUAAAGUCUUUGGGUUCCGGGGGGAGUAUGGUCGCAAGGCUGAAACUUAAAGGAAUUGACGGAAGGGCACCACCAGGAGUGGAGCCUGCGGCUUAAUUUGACUCAACGCGGGGAAACUUACCAGGUCCAGACAUUGUGAGGAUUGACAGAUUGAGAGCUCUUUCU
rnacentral:rRNA from 1 species